AUCCGCCUCCAGGCGCGGAAAGAGUAGGGAAGAAGCGCACACGCACAGUGCACCCAGCUGGGCGCUUCGGCAGUUUGCAGCUGCGGCGGGGUCGGGUCCACCCGCGGUCCCCGGAAUGCCGGACGGCUGAUCCCGGGUGCUGGUCACUCGCCGAUUCGGGGCUGGGAAGGUUUGCCAGAAGCGGGAAAGAUGGGAGAUCUGAGCGCUCUCUUGGCAUCGCCACACCCAGGACUUGCUCGUGCCGCAAUUCCCCACGGAAACAACCGAGUUGAAACGAGAAGCUUGCUCUCUGGGUGCAGUAGCUAGAAGGCUUCAGGUAACUCCAAAGCCAACACUGGGUGAGGCAACACACGCCGCCUCAGGACUCAGCAUUUCUUUCAGGCUGCGUUUUCGUGGCAGACCUACCCAGAUUGAUGGAGAAAGUUUGGCUGGCGGAUAAGAAGUAACGCGGAAGAUGUAUUAUUGUGGCUGUCACUCAGGUUUUCUGCUCAUUGGUAGACAAAGGGUGAGGAGGUGACUGAAAUUGGAACAGUGGAAGGACCCUUCACCAAAACCUGGAACUUCAGAAGAAUGGCAGGGCUGAAAAUGAUUAGUGUUAAUUCAUUCCAGUUGUGUUACCCUACCCAUAAGACUGCCUGAAGGAGCCUGAACUUCCACGUGCUGUCUUCCAUAUAAUGUGAUCUGAGGUGAAGAGCAUGGUCCCUGGAGUUGAACUGCCUGAAGUAAAUCCCAAAAUAGAAAAAUAAAAAUAAAACAGUG